rnacentral:rRNA from 1 species
UAAGCGACUAAGCGUACACGGUGGAUGCCCUGGCAGUCAGAGGCGAUGAAGGACGUGCUAAUCUGCGAUAAGCGUCGGUAAGGUGAUAUGAACCGUUAUAACCGGCGAUUUCCGAAUGGGGAAACCCAGUGUGAUUCGUCACACUAUCAUUAACUGAAUCCAUAGGUUAAUGAGGCGAACCGGGGGAACUGAAACAUCUAAGUACCCCGAGGAAAAGAAAUCAACCGAGAUUCCCCCAGUAGCGGCGAGCGAACGGGGAGCAGCCCAGAGCCUGAAUCAGUGUGUGUGUUAGUGGAAGCGUCUGGAAAGGCGCGCGAUACAGGGUGACAGCCCCGUACACAAAAAUGCACAUACUGUGAGCUCGAUGAGUAGGGCGGGACACGUGGUAUCCUGUCUGAAUAUGGGGGGACAUCCUCCAAGGCUAAAAUACUCCUGACUGACCGAUAGUGAACCAGUACCGUGAGGGAAAGGCGAAAAGAACCCCGGCGAGGGGAGUGAAAAAGAACCUGAAACCGUGUACGUACAAGCAGUGGGAGCCUCUUAUAUGGGUGACUGCGUACCUUUUGUAUAAUGGGUCAGCGACUUAUAUUCUGUAGCAAGGUUAACCGAAUAGGGGAGCCGAAGGGAAACCGAGUCUUAACCGGGCGUUAAGUUGCAGGGUAUAGACCCGAAACCCGGUGAUCUAGCCAUGGGCAGGUUGAAGGUUGGGUAACACUAACUGGAGGACCGAACCGACUAAUGUUGAAAAAUUAGCGGAUGACUUGUGGCUGGGGGUGAAAGGCCAAUCAAACCGGGAGAUAGCUGGUUCUCCCCGAAAGCUAUUUAGGUAGCGCCUCGUGAAUUCAUCUCCGGGGGUAGAGCACUGUUUCGGCAAGGGGGUCAUCCCGACUUACCAACCCGAUGCAAACUGCGAAUACCGGAGAAUGUUAUCACGGGAGACACACGGCGGGUGCUAACGUCCGUCGUGAAGAGGGAAACAACCCAGACCGCCAGCUAAGGUCCCAAAGUCAUGGUUAAGUGGGAAACGAUGUGGGAAGGCCCAGACAGCCAGGAUGUUGGCUUAGAAGCAGCCAUCAUUUAAAGAAAGCGUAAUAGCUCACUGGUCGAGUCGGCCUGCGCGGAAGAUGUAACGGGGCUAAACCAUGCACCGAAGCUGCGGCAGCGACACUGUGUGUUGUUGGGUAGGGGAGCGUUCUGUAAGCCUGUGAAGGUGUACUGUGAGGUAUGCUGGAGGUAUCAGAAGUGCGAAUGCUGACAUAAGUAACGAUAAAGCGGGUGAAAAGCCCGCUCGCCGGAAGACCAAGGGUUCCUGUCCAACGUUAAUCGGGGCAGGGUGAGUCGACCCCUAAGGCGAGGCCGAAAGGCGUAGUCGAUGGGAAACAGGUUAAUAUUCCUGUACUUGGUGUUACUGCGAAGGGGGGACGGAGAAGGCUAUGUUGGCCGGGCGACGGUUGUCCCGGUUUAAGCGUGUAGGCUGGUUUUCCAGGCAAAUCCGGAAAAUCAAGGCUGAGGCGUGAUGACGAGGCACUACGGUGCUGAAGCAACAAAUGCCCUGCUUCCAGGAAAAGCCUCUAAGCAUCAGGUAACAUCAAAUCGUACCCCAAACCGACACAGGUGGUCAGGUAGAGAAUACCAAGGCGCUUGAGAGAACUCGGGUGAAGGAACUAGGCAAAAUGGUGCCGUAACUUCGGGAGAAGGCACGCUGAUAUGUAGGUGAAGUCCCUCGCGGAUGGAGCUGAAAUCAGUCGAAGAUACCAGCUGGCUGCAACUGUUUAUUAAAAACACAGCACUGUGCAAACACGAAAGUGGACGUAUACGGUGUGACGCCUGCCCGGUGCCGGAAGGUUAAUUGAUGGGGUCAGCGCAAGCGAAGCUCUUGAUCGAAGCCCCGGUAAACGGCGGCCGUAACUAUAACGGUCCUAAGGUAGCGAAAUUCCUUGUCGGGUAAGUUCCGACCUGCACGAAUGGCGUAAUGAUGGCCAGGCUGUCUCCACCCGAGACUCAGUGAAAUUGAACUCGCUGUGAAGAUGCAGUGUACCCGCGGCAAGACGGAAAGACCCCGUGAACCUUUACUAUAGCUUGACACUGAACAUUGAGCCUUGAUGUGUAGGAUAGGUGGGAGGCUUUGAAGUGUGGACGCCAGUCUGCAUGGAGCCGACCUUGAAAUACCACCCUUUAAUGUUUGAUGUUCUAACGUGGACCCGUGAUCCGGGUUGCGGACAGUGUCUGGUGGGUAGUUUGACUGGGGCGGUCUCCUCCUAAAGAGUAACGGAGGAGCACGAAGGUUGGCUAAUCCUGGUCGGACAUCAGGAGGUUAGUGCAAUGGCAUAAGCCAGCUUGACUGCGAGCGUGACGGCGCGAGCAGGUGCGAAAGCAGGUCAUAGUGAUCCGGUGGUUCUGAAUGGAAGGGCCAUCGCUCAACGGAUAAAAGGUACUCCGGGGAUAACAGGCUGAUACCGCCCAAGAGUUCAUAUCGACGGCGGUGUUUGGCACCUCGAUGUCGGCUCAUCACAUCCUGGGGCUGAAGUAGGUCCCAAGGGUAUGGCUGUUCGCCAUUUAAAGUGGUACGCGAGCUGGGUUUAGAACGUCGUGAGACAGUUCGGUCCCUAUCUGCCGUGGGCGCUGGAGAACUGAGGGGGGCUGCUCCUAGUACGAGAGGACCGGAGUGGACGCAUCACUGGUGUUCGGGUUGUCAUGCCAAUGGCACUGCCCGGUAGCUAAAUGCGGAAGAGAUAAGUGCUGAAAGCAUCUAAGCACGAAACUUGCCCCGAGAUGAGUUCUCCCUGACCCUUUAAGGGUCCUGAAGGAACGUUGAAGACGACGACGUUGAUAGGCCGGGUGUGUAAGCGCAGCGAUGCGUUGAGCUAACCGGUACUAAUGAACCGUGAGGCUUAACCU